rnacentral:misc_RNA from 1 species
ACUAAUAUAUUAUUAAUCUGUCACAGAAUUAACACUGCAGUGGUACGAAUCAUAUGUCAGCUUGCUCCAUAUGUCUAAAAAACUCAGAAAUGAAUUGAGCUAUGUACAAGAUGAAGAUGAAGGGAAGGUAAAAGAUGUUGAAAAGAAAAUCAAACGGAACGAGAAGGCCAUAGUAGCCAUGGAAAAGAAGCAUCACAUCAAAGAAAGAUGGUCCGAUUUGUCCCGUGUGUUGUAACCUUUAAGUCACGCCUCUACGAGAAGAGAAAGAGCGAACUCUUGUUGAAGUUACAUUGUAUGGCAUCCGAAAGAUGUUUCUUGGUGGAAUUGAAGCGAAAAUAUGCUGGUAAUAAACUGAAGAAAUUGCUAUGUAA